ACGCCCGUAGCUCAGUGGACAGAGCGCCGCCCUACGAAGGCGGAGGUCGCUGGUUCGACUCCAGCUGGGCGUG
rnacentral:tRNA from 1 species